rnacentral:rRNA from 1 species
CCUACGGGAGGCAGCAGUGGGGAAUAUUGCACAAUGGGGGGAACCCUGAUGCAGCAACGCCGCGUGGGUGAAGGAGUAUUUCGGUAUGUAAAGCCCUAUCAGCAGGGAAGAACAAUGACGGUACCUGACCAAGAAGCACCGGCUAACUAGGUGCCAGCAGCCGCGGUAAUACGUAUGGGGCGAGCGUUAUCCGGAUUUACUGGGUGUAAAGGGAGCGGAGGCGGCGAGGUAAGCCUGGUGUGAAAGCCCGCGGCCCAACCGCGGGACUGCAUUGGGAACUGGUGCGCUGGAGUGUGGGAGGGGUAAGCGGAAUUACUGGUGUAGCGGUGAAAUGCGUAGAUAUUAGGAGGAACACCGGUGGCGAAGGCGGCUUACUGGACCGUGACUGACGCUGAGGCUCGAAAGCGUGGGGAGCAAACAGGAUUAGAUACCCUAGUAGUC